rnacentral:rRNA from 1 species
GAUCCUGCUCAGAUUGAACGCUGGCGGCAGGCCUAACACAUGCAAGUCGAACGGUAACAGGAAGCAGCUUGCUGCUUUGCUGACGAGUGGCGGACGGGUGAGUAAUGUCUGGGAAACUGCCUGAUGGAGGGGGAUAACUACUGGAAACGGUAGCUAAUACCGCAUAACGUCGCAAGACCAAAGAGGGGGGACCUUCGGGCCGUCUUGCCAUCGGAUGUGCCCAGAUGGGAUUAGCUAGUAGGG